rnacentral:lncRNA from 1 species
ACCUGGAGGAGGACGACGUGGAGGCCGGCUCCUUCCAGCUGCUCCCUACCUCAAUGCCCGCCAAGGCCAAGGAGCGCCCCGGCGCCUGUAUAACACAGUCGUGCCUUCUUGUGGGCCCUUUG